rnacentral:tRNA from 1 species
GCGGGAAUAACUCAGUGGUAGAGUGUCAGCUUCCCAAGCUGAAGGCCGCGAGUUCGAAUCUCGUUUCCCGCUCCA